rnacentral:rRNA from 1 species
GUGAAUUUUUCAACGGCCGCGGUACUCUGACCGUGCAAAGGUAGCAUAAUCAUUUGCCUUAUAAUUGAAGGCUUGUAUGAAUGGUUUGACAAGAAUAUAGCUGUCUCUUUAUAAUUAAAUAGAAUUUUAUUUAUAGGUGAAGAAGCCUAUAUAAUAUUGAAAGACAAGAAGACCCUAUCGAGCUUGAAAGAAAUUAAUAAAUUCUGUAUAUUUAAUAUAAUUUAAAAAAUUAAUUAUUAAAAAUUUUGGUUGGGGCGACUAAGGAACAAACAAAGCUUCCUUUAUUUUAGUAAUACAACCAAGUAAGGAUCCAAAAACUUUGAUUAAAGGAAUUAGUUACCGUAGGGAUAACAGCAUUAUCUUUUUUGAGAGCUCUAAUCGAAAAAAAGGUUUGUGACCUCGAUGUUGGACCAGAAUAUCCUGAAGAUGCAGCCGUCUUUAAGGGUUGGUCUGUUCGACCAUUAAAAUUCUACGUGAUCUGAGUUCAGACCGGCGUGAGCCAGGUCAGUUUCUAUCUUCAAUUUUUAUAAUAAGUUUAGUACGAAAGGACCAAUUUAUUACAACAUAUUUGUUAUAUUUAGAUGAAAUAUAAAGAAAAAUUAAAUAACUAAAUAUAAUCAAACUAGCAAAGAUAAUGCAAUUGACUUAGGAUCAAUAGACAUAGGUGAA